GACGAACGCUGGCGGCGUGCCUAAUACAUGCAAGUCGAACGCUUCUUUCCUCCCGAGUGCUUGCACUCAAUUGGAAAGAGGAGUGGCGGACGGGUGAGUAACACGUCGGUAACCUACCCAUCAGAGGGGGAUAACACUUGGAAACAGGUGCUAAUACCGCAUAACAGUUUAUGCCGCAUGGCAUAAGAGUGAAAGGCGCUUUCGGGUGUCGCUGAUGGAUGGACCCGCGGUGCAUUAGCUAGUUGGUGAGGUAACGGCUCACCAAGGCCACGAUGCAUAGCCGACCUGAGAGGGUGAUCGGCCACACUGGGACUGAGACACGGCCCAGACUCCUACGGGAGGCAGCAGUAGGGAAUCUUCGGCAAUGGACGAAAGUCUGACCGAGCAACGCCGCGUGAGUGAAGAAGGUUUUCGGAUCGUAAAACUCUGUUGUUAGAGAAGAACAAGGACGUUAGUAACUGAACGUCCCCUGACGGUAUCUAACCAGAAAGCCACGGCUAACUACGUG
rnacentral:rRNA from 1 species